rnacentral:rRNA from 1 species
CAACGCGAAGAACCUUACCAAGGCUUGACAUAUACCGGAAAGCAUCAGAGAUGGUGCCCCCCUUGUGGUCGGUAUACAGGUGGUGCAUGGCUGUCGUCAGCUCGUGUCGUGAGAUGUUGGGUUAAGUCCCGCAACGAGCGCAACCCUUGUUCUGUGUUGCCAGCAUGCCCUUCGGGGUGAUGGGGACUCACAGGAGACUGCCGGGGUCAACUCGGAGGAAGGUGGGGACGACGUCAAGUCAUCAUGCCCCUUAUGUCUUGGGCUGCACACGUGCUACAAUGGCCGGUACAAUGAGCUGCGAUGCCGCGAGGCGGAGCGAAUCUCAAAAAGCCGGUCUCAGUUCGGAUUGGGGUCUGCAACUCGACCCCAUGAAGUCGGAGUUGCUAGUAAUCGCAGAUCAGCAUUGCUGCGGUGAAUACGUUCCCGGGCCUUGUACACACCGCCCGUCACGUCACGAAAGUCGGUAACACCCGAAGCCGGUGGCCCAACCCCUUGUG